rnacentral:tRNA from 1 species
GGAUCCGUAGCUCAGCUGGUUAGAGCGUUGCAUUGACAUUGCAGAGGUCAGUGGUUCGAGUCCACUCGGAUCCA